rnacentral:rRNA from 1 species
UUAAGCGACUAAGCGUACACGGUGGAUGCCCUGGCAGUCAGAGGCGAUGAAGGACGUGCUAAUCUGCGAAAAGCGUCGGUAAGGUGAUAUGAACCGUUACAGCCGGCGAUGUCCGAAUGGGGAAACCCAGUGCAAUUCGUUGCACUAUCGUUAACUGAAUACAUAGGUUAACGAGGCGAACCGGGGGAACUGAAACAUCUAAGUACCCCGAGGAAAAGAAAUCAACCGAGAUUCCCCCAGUAGCGGCGAGCGAACGGGGAGCAGCCCAGAGUCUGAAUCAGCUUGUGUGUUAGUGGAACGGUCUGGAAAGUCCGACGGUACAGGGUGAUAGUCCCGUACACCAAAAUGCACAGGUUGUGAACUCGAAGAGUAGGGCGGGACACGUGGUAUCCUGUCUGAAUAUGGGGGGACCAUCCUCCAAGGCUAAAUACUCCUGACUGACCGAUAGUGAACCAGUACCGUGAGGGAAAGGCGAAAAGAACCCCGGCGAGGGGAGUGAAAAAGAACCUGAAACCGUGUACGUACAAGCAGUGGGAGCACCUUCGGGUGUGACUGCGUACCUUUUGUAUAAUGGGUCAGCGACUUAUAUUCUGUAGCAAGGUUAACCGUAUAGGGGAGCCGCAGGGAAACCGAGUCUUAACUGGGCGUUAAGUUGCAGGGUAUAGACCCGAAACCCGGUGAUCUAGCCAUGGGCAGGUUGAAGGUUGGGUAACACUAACUGGAGGACCGAACCGACUAAUGUUGAAAAAUUAGCGGAUGACUUGUGGCUGGGGGUGAAAGGCCAAUCAAACCGGGAGAUAGCUGGUUCUCCCCGAAAGCUAUUUAGGUAGCGCCUCGUGAAUUCAUCUUCGGGGGUAGAGCACUGUUUCGGCUAGGGGGUCAUCCCGACUUACCAACCCGAUGCAAACUACGAAUACCGAAGAAUGUUAUCACGGGAGACACACGGCGGGUGCUAACGUCCGUCGUGAAGAGGGAAACAACCCAGACCGCCAGCUAAGGUCCCAAAGUCAUGGUUAAGUGGGAAACGAUGUGGGAAGGCACAGACAGCCAGGAUGUUGGCUUAGAAGCAGCCAUCAUUUAAAGAAAGCGUAAUAGCUCACUGGUCGAGUCGGCCUGCGCGGAAGAUGUAACGGGGCUAAACCAUGCACCGAAGCUGCGGCAGCGACACUAUGUGUUGUUGGGUAGGGGAGCGUUCUGUAAGCCUGCGAAGGUGGCCUGUGAGGGUUGCUGGAGGUAUCAGAAGUGCGAAUGCUGACAUAAGUAACGAUAAAGCGGGUGAAAAGCCCGCUCGCCGGAAGACCAAGGGUUCCUGUCCAACGUUAAUCGGGGCAGGGUGAGUCGACCCCUAAGGCGAGGCCGAAAGGCGUAGUCGAUGGGAAACAGGUUAAUAUUCCUGUACUUGGUGUUACUGCGAAGGGGGGACGGAGAAGGCUAUGUUAGCCGGGCGACGGUUGUCCCGGUUUAAGCAUGUAGGCUGGUUAUCCAGGCAAAUCCGGAUAAUCAAGGCUGAGGUGUGAUGACGAGGCACUACGGUGCUGAAGUAACAAAUGCCCUGCUUCCAGGAAAAGCCUCUAAGCAUCAGGUAACAUUAAAUCGUACCCCAAACCGACACAGGUGGUCAGGUAGAGAAUACCAAGGCGCUUGAGAGAACUCGGGUGAAGGAACUAGGCAAAAUGGUGCCGUAACUUCGGGAGAAGGCACGCUGGUGUGUAGGUGAAGUCCCUGCGGAUGGAGCUGAGACCAGUCGAAGAUACCAGCUGGCUGCAACUGUUUAUUAAAAACACAGCACUGUGCAAACACGAAAGUGGACGUAUACGGUGUGACGCCUGCCCGGUGCCGGAAGGUUAAUUGAUGGGGUUAUCCGUAAGGAGAAGCUCUUGAUCGAAGCCCCGGUAAACGGCGGCCGUAACUAUAACGGUCCUAAGGUAGCGAAAUUCCUUGUCGGGUAAGUUCCGACCUGCACGAAUGGCGUAAUGAUGGCCAGGCUGUCUCCACCCGAGACUCAGUGAAAUUGAACUCGCUGUGAAGAUGCAGUGUACCCGCGGCAAGACGGAAAGACCCCGUGAACCUUUACUAUAGCUUGACACUGAACAUUGAGCCUUGAUGUGUAGGAUAGGUGGGAGGCUUUGAAGCGUGGACGCCAGUCUGCGUGGAGCCAACCUUGAAAUACCACCCUUUAAUGUUUGAUGUUCUAACGUUGGCCCCUGACCGGGGUUGCGGACAGUGUCUGGUGGGUAGUUUGACUGGGGCGGUCUCCUCCCAAAGCGUAACGGAGGAGCAUGAAGGUUAGCUAAUCCUGGUCGGACAUCAGGAGGUUAGUGCAAUGGCAUAAGCUAGCUUGACUGCGAGCGUGACGGCGCGAGCAGGUGCGAAAGCAGGUCAUAGUGAUCCGGUGGUUCUGAAUGGAAGGGCCAUCGCUCAACGGAUAAAAGGUACUCCGGGGAUAACAGGCUGAUACCGCCCAAGAGUUCAUAUCGACGGCGGUGUUUGGCACCUCGAUGUCGGCUCAUCACAUCCUGGGGCUGAAGUAGGUCCCAAGGGUAUGGCUGUUCGCCAUUUAAAGUGGUACGCGAGCUGGGUUUAGAACGUCGUGAGACAGUUCGGUCCCUAUCUGCCGUGGGCGCUGGAGAAUUGAGGGGGGCUGCUCCUAGUACGAGAGGACCGGAGUGGACGCAUCACUGGUGUUCGGGUUGUCAUGCCAAUGGCACUGCCCGGUAGCUAAAUGCGGAAGAGAUAAGUGCUGAAAGCAUCUAAGCACGAAACUUGCCCCGAGAUGAGUUCUCCCUGAGACUUUAAGUCUCCUGAAGGAACGUUGAAGACGACGACGUUGAUAGGCCGGGUGUGUAAGCGCAGCGAUGCGUUGAGCUAACCGGUACUAAUGAACCGUGAGGCUUAACCUU